rnacentral:lncRNA from 1 species
UUUUUUUUUUUUUUUUGCCACGCCCAUGGCAUGUCCAAGUUCCUGGGCCAGGCUUCUAAGUGCACCACAGCAGUGACAAUGCUAAAUCUUUAACCCAUAAGCCACUAGGGAACUUCAAGAUGGCUGGGCGAUUUUAUCAGAGUUUUUAGGUGUUUUGGGGAUAUGAGGAAUUGAAGGAGUAGAAUACGUAAGAAUGAGAUAAUUGUAUUCAUGUGUGUUUCUGCUUAGAUCUGUCCUAAUUUCCACUUCUGUGUCUCAGCUCCAGUCAGCAUCUUACCCCCUUGGCAAGAAAAGCCCACUUCAUCUCACCUGCCUCUUGAUUCUCAGCUACCACUGGUGAUUUCUGGUUGGUUGUUUUUGUUUUUUAAUGGCCCCCAGAGCCCUUACUUAGUAGCUUCUCUCUGGACUGUUUAAUUAAUUUCCCUCAACAAAACUCCAUCACACAUAACUUUUGGGGGCACACAAAUUCCUCUUCCUCCUUCUGCCCCCCACUUUUGAAUAUUUUUUUUCCAAAAUUUCCUCUUUAUUUUUCCUUUAUUUUAUUUUAUUUUUAGCUUUUUUUAUUACUCAAAUAAAUUUAUCACAUCUGUAGUUGUAUAAUGAUCAUAACAAUCUAAUUUCACAGGAUUUCCAUCCCACAGCCCAGGCCCCCCACCCCCCAAACUGUGUCCUCCAGAGACCAUAAAUUUUUCAAUGUCUGUGAGUCAGCAUCUGUCCUGCAAAGAAGUUCAGUCUGUCCUUUUUUCAGAUUCCCCAUGUCAGUGAAAGCAUUUGAUGUUGGUGUCUUGUUGUAUGGCUGACUUCGCUUAGCAUGGUAGUUUCUAGGUCCAUCCAUGUUGCUAAAAAUGAUGGUAUUUCAUUCUUUUUAAUGGCUGAGUAAUAUUCCAUUGUGUAUAUGUACCACAUCUUCUGGAUCCACUCCUCUGUCGAUGGACAUUUAGGUUGUUUCCACAUCUUGGCUAUUGUAAAUAGUGCUGCAGUGAACAUCAGAGUACAUGUGUCUUUGCGAGUCAUGGUUUUCUCUGGAUAGAUGCCCAGGAGUGGGAUUGCUGGAUCGAAUGGUAGUUCUAUGUUUAGUUUUCUGAGGCAUCUCCCUCCUGUUUUCCACAGUGGUUGCACCCAUUUACAAUCCCACCAACAGUGUACUAGGGUUCCUUUUUCUCCACACCCUCUCCAGCACUUAUUGUUUGUAGACUUUUGGAUGAUGGCCAUUCUGGCUGGUGUAAGGUGGUACCUCAUCGUGGUUUUGAUUUGCGUUUCUCUAAUAAUGUGUGAUGUUGAACAUCUUUUCAUGUGUUUCUCAGCCAUCUGUAUGUCUUCUUUGGAGAUCUGUCUGUUUAGAUCUUCUGCCCAUUUUUUGAUGGGGUUGUUUGUUUUUUUGGUAUGGAGCUACAGAAGGUAUUUAUAAAUUUUGGAGAUGAAUCCCUUGUCAGUCACUUCAUUUGCAAAUAUUUUCUCCCAUUCUGUGGGUUGUCUUUUUGUUUUGUUUAGGGUUUCCAGGCUAGGGGUCCAUUCAGAGCUGUUGCUGCCAGCCUACACCUCAGCCACAGCAACGCCAGAUCCGAGCCACGACUGCAACCUAUGACCUACACCACAGCUCACGGCAAUGCCGGAUCCCUAACCCACUGACCGAGGCCAGGGAUUGAACCCGAAACCUCCUGGUUCCUAGAUGGAUUUGUUUCCACUUGCCACGACGGGAACUCUGUCAAUGAGUAUUUUUGAGCCAUGGUUCCACACCACUCACUUUAUUAACAUCAGUGAUAAAAAAGUGAACAUAACAAAUUUCUACCCUCAGGGCAUUCAUGGUCCAUCAUAAGCCUGAUUAUUUAUAAUUAUAUAGAUUCCCCUCUUUCUAAAUUGUGCUGGCAUUUGUAUUCUGUUUCAUUCAACUUUGCAUUUGCACUUCAUGUUCUCCAUGUAGGGAGGUAGAGUAUAAAAAAGAUAAAAAGCUUGGUGUCUCAGAUCAGAUGGAAUCUUUGACUAUUGAUUGAGUCAUUGAAAUGUGUCUAUGCAAAAAAAAAUUGAAUUUUUAAUCUUAUUUAAUUUUAAUUAAACUCAAUAGCCUCAUGUGGCUAGUAACUAACAAAUUGGACAGUGCAGCAAUAGACUCUGAGUUCAAUCCAAACCUUGCUGCUUACUAGCUGUGGUAUCUCAAACAAGUUACCUUACCCUUUUUAAGCCUAUAAAAUAGGGGUUGUAAUUCUAACUGCAUCAGAAGGUUGUUUUGAGGUUUAAAUGAGAUAAUAAAGUUAAUAUUCUUUGGCACAGUGCCUAGUAAACAAAUAAGCAAUCAUACAAUAUCAAAUAUCCUGUUAGUGAUAGUUUCUUGUAUUCUAUUACUCACUUAGUAUUUACCAUAGAGCAAAGCAUAAACAGCCUCAGAACAGGGACUGUAUUUGUUACGUUUUAGUCAUUCAUGACACGAAACAUAAUAAUGAUGACAUAGUAGUGGCUCAAUAAAAUAUAACUGAUUCUUUUUUUAGCCUACUUUAUUAGCCUUUCAGUUACAUUAUUAAAUGAGUGCAGGAGUAAUUUUGUCAUAAGUAAUGAUUUUAGACACAAUUUCUAGGCUAUCGUCAUAUAUAAAUCAUUUCUGCAUUUUCCUUUAUAUGAGUGUGACCAUGACAGAAUUGUGUUUCAGAAGUCAUGUUGUGUUGAAUUUAUAUUGAAUUCCCUGAUGAUACAGCAAUUGAUAUAUUCUGAAUCAAAAAAAAAAAGAAUGAAAAGAAGAUGAGAAAUGCCAUUGUUUUUCAUCUGUCUUCCCCAUAGAUGUUUGAUAUGUUAAUGAGUAUAAAUGAGAAAACUAAGACUUCUUUUUUUAAAUUGAAGUAUAGCUGACUUACAAUGUUGAGUUAGUUUCAGGUCUAUAGCAAAGUGAUUCAGUUUCAUGUGAGUUUACAUAUAUCUAUUCUUUUUCAGAUUCUUUUCCAUUAUAGAUUAUUACAAGAUACUGACUGUAGUUCCCUGUACUAUCCAGUAGGUCUUUGUUAUUUACCCACUUUAUGUAUAGUAGUGAUAUCUGUUUAUCCCAAACUCUUUAAUUUAUCCCUGUCUCCCUCUCCCUUUCCCCUUUGGUAACCAUAAGUUUGUGUUCUAUGUAAGACUCAUUUUAAAUAACUCAUAUAAAUUACUUGCCCAAGAUCAUACAACUAAUAAAUGGCAAAGGCAGAAUUUGAUCCUGAUUUCUCAGACUCGACGUCCAUACACUGUUCUGAUAUUCAUAAUGAAGUCUUGUGGUUUCCCCCUAAUGAGUCAAUGUUACCAGAGAGUCAAGAGAUGAAAUAUUAUUUCUAGCACAUGGAAGCCACCCCUUUCUGCUCUUCCUUUUGUGAGCAAGGAGACCUUUAUUUGAGGGAAUGGUUUUGGUGCCAGAAUGGUCUGAAUUCCAGAGUCAUUCCUUGUAGACACCCUAAAACAGGAGGACUAUGUAAUCACAGGACUGGUUUCUGAUUCUGUAAAUGUUGCUCUCUGUAGGACCCCAGUAGUACUUCUGAGAGUGUCUGUGUAGAAUAUUACUACACUUUCCUAGAAAUGGUUUGCAUCGGAGUUCUGGUCGUGGUGCAGUGGAAAUUAAUCUGACUAGGAACCAUGACGUUGAGGGUUUGAUCCCUGGCCUCACUUGGGAGGUUAAGCAUCUAGCGUUGUCAUGAGCUGUGGUGUAGGUUGCAGACGUGGCUCAGAUCCGGCGUUGGUGUGGCUGUGGUGUAGGCCAGCAGCUGUAGCUCCGAUUCAAUUCCUAGCCUGGGAACCUCCAUGUGCUGCGGAUGCAGCCCUAAAAAGACAAAAAAAUGAAAUGGUUCGAAUCAAGUUGGAGCUGCUCAGAUUUCUGAACAGCACCCCUUCCGUGUAGGAUCUCACAGGCGAUUGUUUAGCAGAAGAGACUGCCAGUGCUUAGCAUCUGUCCCGAGAGGCCGUCCAGGCCAUUGUCUGAGGAUUUCAUUUUCUGUUGGUAGCAUUACGUCCAUGCUUUGCAGUCAUCAGGUCUGAAUUUGUGGUCUAUGAACAAAUGCAUUUCUCAACGAUUGCAUGUAUGUCUGUAGGUCUCCCCGGAAGUCCUUCAUUAGGGUCUGUAGGGGAUAGUGUAGACAAAUAAAGCCCCACUAACGGUGACAAAGUAGAAGGAACAGCGAUGCAAUGCAAACACCAUAUGCCCAGGAAAUAUCAGAGAAUCUGCUGGUUAUCUCACAAAUCUUUACCUAUCUGGUUAUGUGCUCCAGCAGAGGACACCUACCAAAAGUUUCGUUAAGGCAGAAAAGAGCAAACUCCCCCCGGUUUUUACAAAUAAUUCUACUUCUCUUUUAAUGCCACUCGGGAAGUGGCCUCUUUGAAGGUUCCGCAGCUCAUAAAGCUGGAACUUCUUCCCUUCCCCACCUUCCUUACUUAACUUGCCGUCACAGAAGCUAACUAGCAGCCGUAGUUAAUGCAUCGAUUUUAGCUGGAGACCCAGAAGGAGCAAGUGCUGGAGUCAGCGGAACUCUUAAACAGUCCUCGGAGACCAGAGUCAUUUGCACAUUGGAAAACAGCUAAUGGGCCAGGGAAGCAGAGGUUAGUUGCAGGGUCUUUGCUGUGUCUCCUUUCCGUCACAGUGGGAGAGAUCACUGCUAAAGAAAAAAAGAAAGAAAGAAAAAAAAAGUCUUCUAACCAAGGAAUCUGUACCUUAUUCUUGUUCUUUAUUUUCACUUUCCUUUUUCUUCAGGGCUGGAUAUUUUAAAGAAAUUCAGAGCUGAGGGGAGUAGAGGGAAAAAUGAUGAAAAAUGAUGAAUCCUUAGUUUCUUUUGACAUGGCAAAAUUCCCAUAGGUAGUGUGAUGCCUUACAAAGGCAUGGCCUUCGUACAUGGGCAAAGUAAAGAGAACAGAGGUGGGCCUGAAGACGGGUCGUUCGACAAAGCCUACGGAGAUCAUGGAAUUUGCUAAUAGACAACCCUGAGUGGCUGUUAGGUAGCUAGUCACUCCCAAGGCUCUUCGUCUCUCCAGCCUCAGUUUGUUGUUCCAUAAACUAGUGAUCGUGAAAAUGACGCCUACCCUCCAGAGCGGGCUGUAAGGAUUAAAUAACGUGUUCAGAUACUUAGCACAACAUCUGACAGUUAUCAGUCCUUGGUAAAUGUUAGCUGUUAUUAUUAUCGCCGUCACCACUCUUAUUCUGUUGUCCAGGUGUUCAGGAUGCUGCCUCGCUAAACCAAAAACAGAUCCGUUCUGCUUGGUCUCAAAUGUCAUCUCUCUGGAAUGUUUUUUUUUUUUUUCCCUCCAGAGUGACCAAGUGCUGUGCUCACAGCAGGUUUGGGUCGUCUUUACACUGCUGCUCUCUGUGACUUACUGGGGUCAGAGGUCCCCAGUAAUGCUCUGUGUGACUCCAGCCUAAGACCCUUUCCUGUGGGCAUGAGAUCUGAAGGUGACAAGCAGGGUCAGCAGAACCUGCCAGACCCGUCCGUGGGUGGUGGGGGGGACGUGACACAAGUCUGUCACAGACUGGAAACAAAUGCCCUUGCCGCCACGGCAUCACUUCUCAUCCAGAUCAGGGCUAGCUUUUUCCAAAGUGCAAUUUAUGGCAGCUGUAGUUCCUUUUGGAUAUGCUCAUGUGUUCAUUCACUUCCAGCUUUUCAGGAUAAAUAAUAUAUGAGUCGUGAGUGAAGAAGGCUUUUGCCUCCACCUGGAACUUUUAAGAACCAUGCCAUCCCUUAAAAACUGUGCUGUUUUAGGGUUCUUGUUUCUGUGGUUUCAGGUGUCUGAACACCUUGGGUUUAAGGUUGUGGGAUGCUGGGAACCGGCAGGUUCUUUACGUGUCUCCCCCAAAUUCUACCUCACAGCCGUUAUUCCAGCAGGACGAGCAGAGUCCAAGUUGCUUCUGCGUAGGAAUGUUGAUUCUAAUCUUGAUUCCCCCCGCUUCCUCUCUGUUAUUGACCUUAGAACAUCAAAUCAGCAGCAGCAUCUCAGAGCUCGUACGGCACCUGUAAGCUUCAGUAGGUGUGCCCUCGGUGCAUAUCUCCUGGCAGUGGUUUCAGACCCAGAGAAUGGUUGGAAGGUUUGGCAUGGCGAGAAAGAGGAAGCAAAGAGGAAAGGAGAGAGGAGAGAGAAAGGAAGAGAAACAAAAACAGAAAAACCGACUCCCCUAGUGCAAAUGACCUGAGUUCUCUGCUUUAACUUGCUUUCUUUAAUGCAGUUGCCUUUCUGUCUCCCGGUAUACCCUGGUAAACCAGCAGAAGAAUGCUGAUGAGACCAGACUCUCUCCCUCUACACCACCCCCGCCCCCAUUUCCUUUUGGGGUAAGAGGAAACCCAAAAAGUUUGUCCUUUUACUUAGUGCCAUCCUUGAAUAAGAAACUAGUCCCCUGCCCCUGGCGAGGGGCCGGCGGGGGGAACCUGGUUACUAGGUGGAUACACUGCCUGACCAGCUAUUCCUGUGUCUGCUUGCCUCUAAUUAAAGUACUUGCUAUGAGCGAUUUUUAAGCACCGGAGCUUAAUGAAGUUAGAAAAAGGAUUUAGAUGCAGUUUGUGAAGACUUCAAAUUGUUUGCGUUUUUUCUCUCGGGAGAACUGUUAAAGUCUGGAGGCAUUUUGAAUUACUUACAAUGUAUUCCAUUUUGUUCUUUUAAAAAUGUCUCUUUUAGCCUGUGCAUAGCUGGGAAAAAAAAAAAAAAAA